UACUUCUGUAUGUCUUCACAAGAAGAAUGUGUAUCACAGUCCUGCUCUGAUAGCAUAAGCUCCGUGAAAUGAAGAUGAUGAUCAAGUUUUCUACUAUUGUACACCAUGGAAAGGAGUUCUCAUGAAUUUUCAGCAAUGAAUCCGUAUGGGAAUAAUUUCAUUGUGAGAAGGCGGCUUCCAUUCUAUCAUGAAAAAGGCUGCAUGGAAAUCACGGAAAGCUACAGAAGAAAGUAUCAGUCAUUGUUUGAAAGCAUUGUGGCCUAUGGAGAUGGAAACCAGAAUGCGGAUUUGCCUCCAAAUUUUAUAAGCUUCUAGAAACCCAAAUGAUGAGAAACAAAUGUGAAAAGUUCACAAAAGUAGUGGUUGCUUAAAAAAAAUAUUUCCUAAAGCCCUAUUGCUUUUAUGAUGAACAGACCUGGUGAGAAGGAUAUUAAUUAUCUCAAAUAUCAUAAUUUAAACAGGUAGAGCUAUUCCCAGUGUUUUUUGGUUGUCACCUAGAUUAGUGUUACACUCCUUGGUUGCUAACAAUGGAGUUAUCAGCCACUGGAACAAAUUAUUAAGAGGAACAGUGAGCUUACAUUUAUUGAAGUCUGCAAACCGAGAGUGGAUGGCAUGCUUUAGCAAACAGUGGAGACACAGCUGGGUGAAAUUACAUGGCUGUACUAAAGAGAAGGGAACAUGAGAUAUUCUAUGUGGUCCUUUCUAGCCUUAAAACCUAUAGGUCUAUAAUUUUACAAAUACCAUUACAAAGAACUCCUUAGACGUAGUGAUGAUCAUAGCACAAAUCUGAAUCCAUCCCCUAAUUUUGGGGUAGAUAUCAUUCCAAAGAUUUUAGAUAAUUACAGAUGGUAGUACUGUUUCUGCAUGUUUCUGUCACAAGUCAUAUUACUAGCAUAAUUUUACAAUAUUGGAAAUCCCUUUUUGAGGACUAUAGAGACCCUUCCUCUACCCCAAAGAGCUCAGUGUACUUCAGUUCAUGAAAGAGUGUAUAAACAAGUAUUCAUGCUGCUGCUUUCCUACAUGAUGUAUUUCAGUCAUUAAAAUCUGAAGUAAGCAAGCUAGAUUCACUCAGUGAAAUGAAAGAAAAUCUAUGAAGGAAAUUUUAAGAUAUUUCUAACUAUUCCAGACCAUUUCUAAGCUAAACUUUAGUUUAUUCCCCCUUGUAGGGUUAUCUGGCACACUGCUUAAAAGGAGUUUUCCCCUCCAUGCCCCCUCCCCUCCUCUCCAAUUGAAGUUCUCCAGUUGUAAACAGCUAAAACAUUUUUUUCCCCAGAUUUCCAGAGCCUUGGGCCUUUGGGCACUGGAGAAACUUAAAUCUAGUGGGACAGUUGGAAGUUUGGGAAAGCUGUACCUGGCUGAACAGCUGAACAUGAAAAGAAAUAGUUCUUCAGUGUUGAGACGUAUUUUUCUUGCUAUAAAGACAGAACAAAUUAAGUGACUACACUUCUUGGAAGAAAGGCGUUGCCAUUUCAUGAUGGCUCUCAAACAUCAUCUUUAUAGCUCCACUGAACUGUUUCUCUGAUAAAAAAACCUGUAGCCUACACUACAAAGGGCUUUGUGUAUAUGUAUAGCAUAUACUGUUAUCAGCAAUCACCACAAUGGUCGCAAAAUGUAUUCCUUCAGUACGGUUAAACUGUCUCAUUAAUCAUAAGACAAAAUUGCUCCUGUGCCAGUAUGUCUUCUACCCACAGAGGUGGGUUUGGCAGCAUUGCUAGGACAACAUAGUUGAGAUGUCCUAACUAACACUAGAAGAUCUGAAAAAACAUCAUGGUGUAAUUUUUCGACUAUUUCACUGAAAGCUGAUAAUUUUGUGUGCAGGAUGGAUAUGCAUAAUUCUGGAGGCAGGUUUUUAGUUUUUAGAUUAUAGUCACCCUUGGUUUUGUGACUGUUUAAAACUCUCUUUGUGGCUCACUUCUUCUAUAUAUGUACAUUGUGCCUAAAUAAAUAUCUCAACCGUCCCUCAGCUGGAGGGCUGUCUGCAAGACAUGCAUUAACCAAACACAGUGUGUCACUCAGAUACAAUGAAGGGAACACAAUAUGAGAGCCCAGAGGAAAUUUGAUAGCUUGAUGCAGGCAUUCAGAUUGCUUUAUCAAGCCGUCUUUUCUGGUCUUAAGUUUCAUAAAUUUAUAUCUUGUGCUGAUUCAGAUAAGUUCAACAUUCUCUUGCAACCGUGUUUUGUGCUCCUGUGAAAAGAUGAUUGAAAAAACUGGGUGCUGACAAAGAGGAGUGGCCUCUGACUGCUCUCAAGCUUUUCAAAUAUAUUAUCCUUUUAGAAAAACCAAACCAGCAACCCCGUUCAACAACCCACUUUGUUGUAACAGUUUCAGCAUCAACAGAGACUAAUCUGUUUGCCAUGCAAAUGUCAUAUUUAAAUCUAGGUGUGUGUGUGUUUAAUACUUUGAUUUAAUGAAACUACAAGAACAAUUCUGAGUUGAUUUGGCUGAAGGAACUCCUUAGUUUCAGUUCGCUAAAGACUAUUUAUGUAGCUCUCUUAUAAGAAGUAUAAUAAUAAAAAUAAAAAAGGGGGAGGGGAAUAAGAAGUUGCUAAGCAUUUGAAAUGUUGGAGGUCUAGACUAUGUUUCCAUUAAUCAAAGUUGUUCUCAAAAGUAAUUUUUGAGCCACACUGCAAGGAAAUUGGGAAGACCUUGAACUGGUAAUGUUCCGUUUGUUGUGUGGGUAUACAGAAAACAGUUUUCUUUUCCCACAGGGAUUCUUUUGAUUUUGAAAUUUCAAGCCUGGCGUGGGGCUUAGUGAAUAUAUGAGCGACUUAAGAAACAAGCAAGCAUAUUUCAUUUUAAUGCUGACUUUUUUUUUUUUUUUUUGUUUUUAACCUUUUAAUAUAAACUAAAUUAAGUUUCAACAGGAGAAGAUGCUUUUAACCGCAAAACCCAGACUUUUUGUUUUAAAAAUGUUGAAAUGGCCCAUUUAUAGAAUUUCAAAACCUGUUUUUCCCAUUUUUUUGAGGACAGGAAGCUCUUCUGGGAAUAAUUUCAGUUUUGAUGAAUUGUCAGUUGUGACCAUCUCCCUUCUUCUCUAUGAAAGCCCUGUUCUCACUCCCAACUCUAAACCCAGGCUUCCAAUACUUUCCAGAAAUCCAAGGUAUGAUUGCCUUAGUUAUCUUACUCAUGCAUUAGAGAGAGACAUAGGUUUUGGGCAGCUAUUUUUAUCCAUUGGUGCAAUAAGACAACAGUGAGAGAGUUGUCAUGGUCUUAAUUUGAAUUCUUCUUCCUCUACAAGUACCUGACAUCGUAGUAGUUUUGUGUUUUGUGUUUCAAUGUUUCACAUACAUACUGUUUGAUGACAAUUACUGGUUCAAAAUUUGUAAACAAGUAGACAUGAGUUACACAUAUGCUGGAAAUUAAUUUCAUUAAUACACUGAGUGUUUUAUUCCAUUACAUCUGUCAUGAAGGAUUACUUUCCUAUAACUAAUGACCACGGAUGUGUUGAUGGGACAAAAUCUGAAGCCUUCAGUGAAGGAUUAUUAAUGAACCCUGCUUUAAGAAGUCUGGAUGGAUCUUACACCUGGAAAUGAACACUGGAUUUAUUUUUUUUUAAUUUACUUUUGAUGCCAAUAUUUGUAUAUAUUUUUAUUACCCUGGAAAUAAAUUCCUUUCAUGAUUU